rnacentral:lncRNA from 1 species
UAUAAAACCAAACAUUUAGUAUCUGGAAAUAUGUGUCAAUUUUAUCUCUUAGAAUUGUGGAUUUUAUUGUCAAGACAGAAUGGCUGUUCAUUUAUUUUAUAAAAGCAUCUCCUUCUAUAACUCAAAAUUUUCUUUAAGUGUCAUAUAAAAGUGUACAUUUUACUUUUAAGCAACUAAUUUAGAUACCUAAGAAAAACUAUGUGCAUUAGGAAAAGUCAUGUUUUUCUUCUCAGAAAGGUUGAUCACAUGACAUGUCUACUAAGAAUUUUCACCUCUGUACUUGUAUGUAUAUUUUAUUGUUACUCAAUCUUGUAUUUUAUUUACAAAUUCAACACUGUCAACCCUGGGAAUUCUAAAAUACCAAUGUAUUUUUAGGUUGUAGCUAAUGUUGUAUUCACUUUCAAUUCUCAGUUGUCCACACUGGUGAUAUAAGAGGAACAAAUCAGAAUCAUUAAAUACUUUGUAAUGCCAUCAUAAACUCAUAUAUUCAUCCUCAAACUCCCUUGUUUAAUGCUAAUUGGUGGCCUGGAACUUCACUGAGAUGCAAAAUCAAGAACUGAAGCCUAGUUGCUAGAUAACGAAAAGCUAUAAAUGUUUAUGUAUGUGAAUUUUAAAUUAGAAUAACCGUCUUAAACUCCUACUUGCCAUUUCUAAGGCAAAGCAUUCAUUUUAAUAUUGUACUUUGCCUUUUCAUUCAGUUAGUGGAGUAAGUCAUGAAACCCUUAGGAAGAAAAACAAGUUAUGACUUAUUCACUAAAAUUGAUGCAAGACAGUUGGUUCUAGAUGACCAUGGCCAUGUGUUCAUCAUAUAAAACCUUCAGUUCUCUCUAUGGUGCUUGGCUGGAGAUUGACAUGUGAGGAUGUGCCAAUCAUAUUAAAUGGAUUUGGUCUAUGUGGGUGAUAUGUGGCCUGAAUGUAACUGUGAUAGACUGAAAUUUGUUCUUAGCUCUCAAAAUCCACUGAAGAAGUCAAGUGAAGGUGGGUAAAAUAGGGAGAUUAGUGACAACUUUGUGCCAAAUUUUUUAAAAAAUGGAAGCAGGUAGCCAAUAUUAGAAUGAUAAUUUAAGGGUGUGGUUGAAUUUUAGUUAGUUGUCACAUAGUUAUUGAACCUCAUAUGCUCAGUGCUGUGGGAAUCAAACAUGGAAGAGGUAUGGCUCCUGCCCCUAAUGAGAACAAGGGGGAAAAAUCCAGAUAUAAUCUAAAUGCUAGGUUAUGUCAGGGUAUAGGAACACAGAGAAUGGGGGACCUGUAAGAACUGGAAGAGUCAGAGAGGGCUCCAUUGAAGAGGUCAAACAUAAUUCCGGAAAGAAUUAGGUAGUGAGGAGAUUGUGCCAGGAAAAUAAGUGGGAAAGGCCACAGUUAUGUUUCCUUUGAAUGGAAGAGAGACAAAGCUAUCAGCUAUAGAUCAUUGUUUUCUUAAGACAGCCAAACUGGCCCUUUGAAACCAUUCAAAUUACCCCAGUUUAGCUCCCUACCUUUUAGUCUCCGUGAGGAAGACAAGCUGUUGCAUUAUCAUAUUCCUCUGUGCUGAGCAGCUCAAGACUCAGCCACAAUAUGCAAAUUGCUUUAAUGCCAUAUUACGGCAGUUGAUUUAGACAUUUGCCAGUGCACCAAACCAUGAGAGAUUGUCCGACCUAAUGCCACCUGGCAGAUGUGUACCCAGAGAUUUUUCUGUAGCUCCAUGUUUCCCAUAAAGGGCAUUGGAAAUGCACAGAUGAAGAUCUUCCUUUGGAACCAGGCACAUUUGGCCCCUUCUCAGUGACUGCACUGUGGAACUCUUCUUAAGAAAAUAUUGAAAACAGCUUAAUGCUUUCAUAUAGUGACCGACAUUUAGUUGAAAACUACUGCUGCAUAGCAAAUAUUGUGACUCUUCAUGUGUCCACAGGAGCUCUUGUGUGGGUUUAAAGCUAUGAAGUGUAUUCACAUUGUGAAGUUUUAAUUAUCUUUAUUGAAAUUAAUUGUGUAAAAAUGGUAUGUGCUCUAUUAGGUAUUCAGUUUGUAUGUGAAUUCUAUAAAGAAAGUGGUUUUUGUUCUUUGAGUUUGUUUUAUUUCUUGAAGAUUACAAUAAAUAUCUAAGAGACUAUAUUCCUG